rnacentral:rRNA from 1 species
CAACGGUAUCCGUAGUGAACUCCGGCAGAUCAUUG